rnacentral:lncRNA from 1 species
GUAAAAAUUUGCAUGGUAUGAUUUUAAAAACUUGAAUUUUUAACUUAAUGUUCUAUGUUCUGUAGUAAUCUCAUUUUCAUGUUACCAAAGGAAACCUGUUAUGACCAGAAUAAAUUAUUUUCCCAACAUUGAACUAAGAAUUCCUAGAGCUGGGGAAAUAAAGGAAUGUCCUUUGCUGCCAGCCUCCUUCCUUCCUCCUUAGGAUACCUCUUUAAAAUUAAUUAUUAGUUUGGUUUUCCCAUUUAAUAGAGAAAUUAUUUAGGAUGUUUUCUAAAAUGUCCAAGUAGCUAGCUAUAACUUGCUGUUUAUUCUUUGAUUGACAGUGACUAAUGUCAUUUCACAGUGGCCAGGAAAUGUGGGCUGUAUGAUCUCCACUUUGAGAGGAUUUUGACCCAAUGCCUGGGUCAUUUAUGUGGCUGGCCUCUGGAUAUCUGAAAGUAAUAUGAAUCCUUCAUUUGCUGGUUUCAAAGUACUAUCUACCUAUCUUCCUGUCUAUCACAUAAAUGUUUCCAGUGAUGCCAUCAAUAGUUACAGAAAUUGAUUGAUUUUUAUAUAUCUGACCUAUUGAUUUCUA